GGGGAUUUAGCUCAGCGGCAUAAGCGCCUGCCUUGUAAGCAGGCAAUCGCCAGUUCGAUCCCUGGUACCA
rfam:Cavia porcellus supercont2_4 genomic scaffold, whole genome shotgun sequence.